AUUUCUCUGACCUCAGUCUGUGUUCCAGCUCUUUCCAUGCCUGAAGGAAAAUCCAAGGACUUUUAGGAUCUGAAUCUAAGAAGUUUGGGUUGCCCUUGAUGUCUGGGAAGAGCAGUUGUUGCAUUUUUCAUCAAUAUCACAAGGCUCAUCUUUAGCUGAUACGUUCAGAUUCGCAGGUUGAUGCUGAUACUGUUAGUCUGUGAGCAUACUAAGUAGUAACACCUCAUAGUGGCUGUAAUUCUAGACCUCGGUUGCAGAGCACUUCAGAUCAGCCCCUUCUUCCUACAUACGUAUCCUCGAACUUCCCCCUCUCACCACUCAACUAAAGCCUAAACUGACACGAAGAGGAAGAUAUCACCCACCGGAGUCUUUGGUGACCCAGACUUGAAUUCUAAAUUGAUUCCGGCUAGGAUAAGUUAUCUAAGCUGGCUGCACCUCGAUUAUCUCAUCUAUAGAGUGAACACAGUCACCUUAACUAACAGGGUAUUUGCAAAAUAACAUAAAUGAAACUGAUGCCAAGAAUGGAGCCCACACUUCAAAACAGUGGUUCUCAACCUAGGGCUUGGAAGAUGUUCAAUAUGCGUCAACAUCUACCUUUCCUUCUUGAAUGAAAAAGACAGAAAAGAAGAAGGAGAGGCAAUGAUAGGAUCUUCAGUGGAUAACCAUGAAUAAAAUUCCUGGCUGUGAUGGUAGAAGCAUCAAAAUCAAGAGUCUCAAACUCAAAUGCCAGUAGAAGCUGGGCAAGUAAUAUUAAUAAGCAAAGCACCCCAGGGACAAAGAAAAAAGAAUACAACAGACACUGGCAAGACAAUAGAAAUGCUUCAAAUAUCUAUUAUCGUGGUAGAAGACAAAUAGCUGCACACCCACAAGAAAAAUGGCUUCUUGCCACUCCACCUUGGGUUCUUGAAGCAAUGGAAGAUGAUGGGGACGGGACUCAGCUGGAAAGAGCUGCCGCCUCCGGCAUGCUCUCCACCUGACAGUCAUCAUGUGACACAAAAUGAAAGGCCCAGCAUUGCCAGAUC